UACGUAGGGUGCAAGCGUUACUCGGAAUUACUGGGCGUAAAGCGUGCGUAGGUGGUUCGUUAAGUCUGUCGUGAAAGCCCCGGGCUCAACCCUGGAAUGCCGGUGGAAACUGUCAAGCUUGAGUCCGGAAGAGGCGAGUGGAAUUCCUGGUGUAGCGGUGAAAUGCGCAGAUAUCAGGAGGAACACCAAUGGCGAAGGCAGCUCGCUGGGACGGUACUGACGCUGAGACGCGAAAGCGUGGGGAGCAAACAGG
rnacentral:rRNA from 1 species